rnacentral:rRNA from 1 species
GAUGAACGCUGGCGGCGUGCCUAAUACAUGCAAGUCGAGCGAACAGAUGAGGAGCUUGCUCCUCUGACGUUAGCGGCGGACGGGUGAGUAACACGUGGAUAACCUACCUAUAAGACUGGGAUAACUUCGGGAAACCGGAGCUAAUACCGGAUAAUAUAUUGAACCGCAUGGUUCAAUAGUGAAAGACGGUUUUGCUGUCACUUAUAGAUGGAUCCGCGCCGCAUUAGCUAGUUGGUAAGGUAACGGCUUACCAAGGCAACGAUGCGUAGCCGACCUGAGAGGGGGAACGGCCACACUGGAACUGAGACACGGUCCAGGCUCCUACGUGAGGCAGCAGUAGGGAAUCUUCCGCAAUGGGCGAAAGCCUGACGGAGCAACGCCGCGUGAGUGAUGAAGGUCUUCGGAUCGUAAAACUCUGUUAUUAGGGAAGAACAAAUGUGUAAGUAACUAUGCACGUCUUGACGGUACCUAAUCAGAAAGCCACGGCUAACUACGUG